rfam:Triticum aestivum genome assembly, contig: Triticum_aestivum_CS42_TGACv1_scaffold_129306_2BL
AUAGUACUCCCUCCGUCCCAAAAAUUUUUGUCUUAAAUUUGUCUAAAUACGGAUGUAUCAAGUCACGUUUUAGUAUUAGAUACAUUCAUAUCUAGACAAAUCUAAGAUAAGAAUUUUGAGACGGAUGGAGUAUCAU